GCCUCUGUAGCUCAGUUGGUUAGAGCUCGACAACUGGCCUCUGUAGUUCAAUUGGUUAGAGCGCUGCACUCGAAUCGCAGGUUUGAUUCCUGCUAGGGUCG